CCUACGGGUGGCAGCAGUGAGGAAUAUUGGUCAAUGGCCGAGAGGCUGAACCAGCCAAGUAGCGUGAGGGAAGACGGCCCUACGGGUUGUAAACCUCUUUUAUCGGGGAACAAAACGAGUUAUGCAUAACCCCUUGUGAGUACCCGAAGAAAAAGCAUCGGCUAACUCCGUGCCAGCAGCCGCGGUAAUACGGAGGAUCCGAGCGUUAUCCGGAUUUAUUGGGUUUAAAGGGAGCGUAGGCGGAGGGUCAAGUCAGUGGUGAAAGUGUGCGGCUCCACCGUAAAACUGCAGUUGAAACUGGCAGCCUUGAGUACAGGAGAGGUGUGCGGAAUGCGUGGUGUAGCGGUGAAAUGCUUAGAUAUCACGAAGAACUCCGAUUGCGAAGGCAGCUCACUGGACUGCAACUGACACUGAUGCUCGAAAGUGUGGGUAUCAAACAGGAUUAGAUACCCUGGUAGUC
rnacentral:rRNA from 1 species